rnacentral:rRNA from 1 species
UACGUAGGGGGCAAGCGUUGUCCGGAAUCAUUGGGCGUAAAGCGCGCGUAGGCGGCCCGGUAAGUCCGUUGUGAAAGUCAAAGGCUCAACCGUUGAAAGCCGGUGGAUACUGUCGGGCUAGAGUUCGGAAGAGGCAAGUGGAAUUCCUGGUGUAGCGGUGGAAUGCGCAGAUAUCAGGAGGAACACCCAUAGCGAAGGCAGCUUGCUGGGACGAUACUGACGCUAAGGCUCGAAAGCGUGGGGAGCGAACAGG